rnacentral:lncRNA from 1 species
AAUAAAUUAGUUUUGGCAUAAAGGUGAGAAAAAAUGUGUUAUUUAUAGAGUUUUACUAGUAUUCUGUUAGUAGUAAACGGAUCGAUUUAUUACCAAUUUGUUUUCAAUAACAAAAUUUUCAAAUCGACGAUUGAUGCCGUUUAAUAUGAUCUAGACCAUUUAACUUAUGCAGAAAUUAAAUUUCAUACUUUUUCGAUAUCCCUAUCAGAAAAAUCAAAACGUCACGAAAUUUUUAAUUUUAAUGACCGGUACGGUUCGUUUGCUUGCUUGAUUGUAGAAGAGUCCAAAUCAGCUAAUUUUUUUUAAAAAUUUUUUUAAAACUAUUUAAAAUAAGAUUUAGACUCUAAAUCUUGAAUGCAAAACUUAUAUCAUCACUUUUUAAAGAAUAUUCAUUUUUAAUAGUUCAUUUUAUAUCCACUUGAUGGAUAAAAGAAAAAUAUCAAAAAAAUAUAAAAUUUAAUUUUUA